rnacentral:lncRNA from 1 species
UCCUCUCUUGUGUUUCUACCAUCUCUUGUUGAGAUAAGAGCCCGUCCCCUGUGGCUAAGCAUCUCCAUCGCGGACACUUGCGAGUCCACUCCCGGAAUUUCUUUGGCAGCGUACACUGUACAGCGCCUAGAGCUUUGAUGUUUUAGCAUGGAAUAAAAAUCGAGAGAUAUCUGUUGCCAAUGGAUUGGACGGUGAAAGGGGUGGGCUAGCUACCAUCAUCACCGGCCACCUGUUUCUUCUCUGUUGCUUUACUUGCACGGCUGCAACACCAACUCCUUCAGCUUUCACUUUCGGCCUAUAUGACGCUCUUCUACUCCAAGCAACAGGUCGGUCAAGAUUCGUGCCCGUUAAAAGCAGACAGGAAGGAAGAAGGCUCCGCCUCAUCAAGGUAAGCUCUAAUCCCUUCAACUCUUCGUCCUCUUUUCCCCACUUGGAUUUCUGCCUUCUUCAACUAUUCAUCCUCUUCUCUCCGUUGGGAUUUCUGCGUCUUUAUUCAGUGAGGGGGUGCCUCUGAGUUGGAUGCCAUGGUGCCGUGGAGGCUGGAGGCCCGCCUGGCGGAGACGGUGAGGGCGGCGCUCCUCGGCUGGCUCUUCUUCUGCAUCACCGUCGCCAGCGAUGUCGCACAUGCGCUCAGAAGCAGCGAUCUCUCCAUCUAAGACCGGCCACGUUCGACAUGGCCAAGACCGACUCUGUGCCUACAAAGUGGCAGUUCAUUGGGCGCACAGGAAGAAAAUUUAUUUACAGCAGUGUAACCAGUCAGUGAGUUCAUCCAUGAGAGAAUGAGUUCGAUGUAAAGGUGAAAUAUUCAUAUAGAUUAGAUGUAAAAUCUUGUGUCAAACAGAGAAAUACUGGCUAUUUGCUCAAAGUGGCCUGACUUUCAAACAAAAGGUAGCAUAGAUAGCGCUGGUGCAACUUAGUAACUAACAAUAUGGCUGGUGCAUCGGACGAACUAAGGACAAAAUUCCGAUAAAUAGCUUUCGCGAGGUGGAGCGGUAUGUACGGAUUCUACUGGUCAUCAGGCAGGAGGUUCCGACUUAUCUGCACUCGAGUGCUAUCACCGCCUUGAUGAUUUCUUGAAAGACCUCGGUUUCUGUCGGUGGCCUCUUGGAGCCUCCUCUUCUUCAUCAUCGUCGUCCUCCGCCACCUUCCUUCUCUUCUUGUGACCACCGUCCUCCCUCAGUUUCUGCCGAAUAAUAACAAAAUGGUGAUUUUAGUAUCACUGCAGCAGUCAUAGCACUUAUGGAGACAAUUAUGGGCACUUCAAAAUUGAUUGCUCCGCCAAGUACAUACCGUCAGUGCAAUCCUCUUUGAAUCUGAUAUAUGCUCACGAAGUAUCAGGAUUUCAUCCAUAUCUACCUUCCGGUCAGGAAUUUCCCUUCCUGCGAAAAUAGGGGACGGCUUCAGAAAGAAAUCUCCAGUUAUGUGUUGCCACGAGACAAGCAACGAGGAAAACUAUUACCAAGGAGCUGCUCAAUCAGCUUAAACCACUCAGCCUCAUACUGAUUCACAAAAGAGACGGCAUAUCCCGAUUGCCCUGCACGCGCAGUCCUACCAACCCGAUGGACAUAAUCCUGCAUUUGGUGCAGCAUAAUUUCUAAGAUCAGUGACAAAAUAUAAAUGCACGAUCUUCUCAAUAAUAAAAGCAAUAUACGAUGAUCGGCAACAGGUACUGAAGUAAACAAGGUAGAAAACCUUAGAAUUCAUUGGAAUAUCAUAAUUCAUAACCACAUCAACUCCUUGAAUGUCAAGACCACGACUCGCCACGUCGGUGCAGAUAAGGAUGUUGAAAUCUUUUGCUUUGAACUUGUUUAAAGCACCUAGUCUUUUGUCCUGAUAAAGAGAAGAUUUAAGAUAAUUAUUUGCCUUGGGAAGUAUUAUUUAUGUUAAGAAAACUAACAUGUCCAUAAUGGAGCUCACUUAUACGGCCUCAAAAGGCUGCAUAACUGAGGCCCUGUUUGGUUCGGCUGUGGAUUUCUAAAAGCAGCUGUGAAAAAUCUGCUGUGGAAAAACAGCUGUGGAAAAUCUGAUGUGAAAAAGAUGUAGGCCAUUUGGCAAACCAGCUGAUACAGCUUUUUCAGAUUUUGGCCCGCAGCGGAAUCAGAUUUUGGAAAGCACGUCCUGGGCUGCUUCCGCUUUUGGUUCAGAUUUUGGCAGCGGAUUUCUGGAAUCGGAUUCUGCUGGGUUCGCCCUUUGGUUCAGAUUCUGCUGCGCAGCAGCGGAAUCCGUCGAUAAAAGCUGAACCAAACAGGGCCUUUAUGGGGAAAUCAAAUACUUUUGUCUGUCUGAUAGAAAAGUUACAGAAGUAAACCUGACUCAUCUGGCCACUGAUAGAGAGAGCUUUAAAACCAAGAUUCCUUAAAGUGAGAGCAAGGAGUCUUGUUGACUCGCAGGUCCGCACGAAGAUCAUGAUCAUGCUCCCUGGCAACUCAUUCAGAACAUGAACAAGAUAACAAUCCUGAAAUAGAAAAUGGCGAAAGAACAACAAAAGGGAAAUCAGUACGCGAGCCACUGUUAGUAAAUAGAGAAAUAUAAUCUCAAAGCAGAACAUGCAUGUGAUUAAAACUAAUCUCCUGAAGUCCAAGGGUAUAGGCAUGGGCAUUCUUUAUCAGGAUUGUUUAUUAAAUGUAGAGUAGAAUCUUAGUCAAAUGGUUUCAUCAACACAGGCUUCAAUCAGUACUGCUAAUAUCAAAUGUAUAGAAGUCCAAAUUCUCUGUUCAAAAAAAGUCCAACAAACAACAAGAUAAUGCAGGCCUACAUUUUAUCACACAAGUUACAUGGGCACAGAACUACAGGUCCUGAUAUUGAGGUACAGAAACGGAUUUCGUCACUUCUUAAAAUUACAUUAUUAUAUUAAGAAGUACAAGAAUUAACCUUGUAAUCUGCAGGAACGAAAUACCACUCUUGUUUAAGUGUGUCCACUGUAGAAUAUUUGGAGGAUACUUCCACCUGGUCCCAAAAAAAGUUCCUCUUAUAUUAGUAAGAGAAAGAAGGCGGCCCAAAAGGUCCUCUUCUAUUGACGCUUUGCUGCUUAUCGAAUGCCUAAAAUAGAAGAAUGGCUUUACCUUAACAGGGUUUCUGAGACAAGCACGUUGCAGUUUGCUUACCUGCAAAGAAAACUCAUAAGCUGUUCUGCAUUCAGGCUAACAAAAAUGUAUGUGUAGCAAAGCUGUGAAGCACCAAUUAGAAAAUUAAGGCUAUUCAUGACUAGAAGCAUGAUUGUUGCAGCUUGGAAGAGCAUAUUGAAGCAGUACUCCUAGAAAUACAAAAUGAUGCACAGUUCACCAGAAUCAAUGCAAUUAUAUGACAAACUGUCAAUCUGUGCACUAUUUCUCAAGACUUUAUAGUGCAAUCACCAAACAAAGUGGUAAACAAGGCCACAUCAAUCUGACAAACACAACAAUGGCAACUGUUGAUGUUUUAGUCCUUUUGGCUCACACAAAACUGCCUGAACCACCAACCUUUUUGGUCAUUGUGGCUGAAAAAAGGUAAGUUCUCCUUUCUUUAGGAAUGACCUUCAGAAUAUCAUCAAGUGAUUCCUUGAACUCCAAAUUAAGUAAUUUAUCAGCUUCAUCAAGUACCUAGAAACCAAGAAGAUUGAGGACAUGUCAAAACAAAAGCAUCUCAGUUUAAACAAGCUGGUAUCCUCCGUCCAAAUUGUGGAGGUAUGAGCUAGUUAUGUAAAGAAAUAGUUGACAAUGAAGGCUCCGAACAGUAUAAUCAACACAUAUUUAUGAUAAGUAACUAUAGCACAUUUGCAACAAUUUACAACUAAGAAACUAUUACAACAACCAGUCAAGCAAUGGAAAACAACUACUGAUUCAUUUAAGUAUUUCUAGUUCACAACACACAAGCUAGGGUGGUUCAGCUUGACAAAACAAUCUUUAAGUAAUUAAAAUGAAAAGAUAUCUUAUUAUAUUAGUUAGCUUAACACUUCAGGGGAACACUGCCUGGAAAAUGUAAGUUUCCACUUUAACAGGUGAGGUAGGAUUUGUGAGAAGCCACUUCUCUAUAUUGCACAUUACUCCUUUCUUUAAUGCAGGUUCUAUCUGUAACAACCAAACAUUUUCCUGACAUCCAACAAUCAGAAUGGUCUAGGCAUAAAUGAAAAAGCAGGAUGAUGUACAAAUUAAAAGAUGAGUACUUGCAAAGAAUGUGUACCAGGUAUUUCACUUUAGUUAGGCUAAAACCUUUUGUAUCUUUCAAAUGGUCCAAAAGACGGCCAGGAGUUCCAACCUGCAUUUUAGAGGAGAUGAUACAUAAAACAAGCUAAGUCCUGAUAAAGACAGUUUUCAAAUACCAUGGAAGAGAACAAAAGUGUUCUUUCUCUGCUUCAACUGGUGUAUGCAAUGGAAGGUCUUGGUCUUAUCUUGUAUACCUAAGUCCCAUGUCUUCUAGACUCUAGAAGCACUUAUAUAUGCUAAAUUCAGUGAAAUGGAGAGUCUUGGGUCUUACUACCUCUGUAUCAAAAUACAAGACGUUUUUAAAGUUCAAAAACGUCUUAUAUUUUGAUACGGAGGAGUACAAGGAUGCGCUUGUCACCACAGUGGCUUUCCAAAUUAAAAGCACUUAUAUUACUCCCUCUCUCAAAAUAUAGUGCAUAUAGAUAUUUGUUAAUACUUUUUCCUGAAAACUUGAUAAAACUUUGACUUGGGACAAAACCUAUAAUUCUAAAUGCACUUUGUUUCGAAUGGAGUAUAUUAACUUCAGGUAUAUUAUGAUCAGUAAAUCCCUCAAGAGCCUUCACAAACAGAAUUACUAGAAAUGGAAGUUAAGGGGGCAUUAAAAGGCUCGAUAAGUUGGCUAAUUGGAGAACCGGAGAAGACACAGGUUGGCCAAAACGGCAUUUCUUAAGUCCAAAAAGAAUUAGUAUAUGCUAAUACUGAUGCUAGAACUUUUCCACUUUGGGAUUUAAACGGGCAUUGUUGAUGGUUGAGUGUUGAUUUUAAUCACAUGCCUCACUUACAAUUUCAAAGCACAAAGGAUCCAUAACCUAUAUUGUCUUAGGUUAGGAUUGGGUAGAGGAUACUCACCACAAUAUGUGGACGUUUUGCAAUGGAUAACACUUGCUGCAUCCGGUCAACUCCUCCAACAAGCUGGAAAAGGGAAAAUAUCUCAACUGAAAAUGAUUCACGUAACUCAAUAGUCUCAUAACUGGUGAUGAAUACUUGAUUUGAGUAGGUAAUAGCAUGGUCACCAAGAGACAUUUUAAUGCAAUAGAAGAUAGAAAAUUUCAUCGAAUUAUACUGAGCAGAAGUAAUCAGAGGAGAAAGGUCAUCAACAAAAAUUGAAAUUGUCGAUAUGGGCUCGUAUAACAACAAACUUAUUCAAUUUAGUUAUGGUCUUUAAACAUUUAGAUAUAACCAUGCUAUGCUAUGCUUUGGCUUCACCACAUUGAAAUAGGCUACAUGCACUAAAAAUUCUAACAGCGCCCCGACAUUACUCCUCUUUGCGUUAUGCCCGCAAGCCAACCAAAGGGAGUAGCUAGCAAUUCACAACCAGCAAUUACAACAACUUGUUAAUCGAAACUAUGGCCCGCGCAAGAACACAAGCAUAUUAAAGUAUGCACAUCCAAUUGGUUGUCGAAAAUAAUUCAUAUCAGAGCUAAAUAAACAGUCAAUUGUAUCAACACCACUUACCACUGAGCAAACCAAGCCGAUAGCUGACCCUAACGCCUCAAACUGCUCCGCAAUCUGAAUCGCCAGCUCCCUGAACCACCACAGCAGUACGGUAAGCUUCCACACAAGCUACCGAUAAGAAAAUACGUCCCAGGAAGGAGAGGGGGGAAAUGGUUACCUCGUGGGCGACAUGAUGCAGGCGAAGAAGGGCUGGCGGUGCUCGAGCAGCGCCUGGAUGAUGGGCAGCGCGAACGCGCCCGUCUUCCCCGACCCCGUCUGCCCCAGCCCAAUCACGUCCCUCCCUGCACGCAGGACCGAGCUCAGAAUCAACGACCUGGACCAUCACAACUGCACACAUAAUGGCCGGCGGCGGCGCUGGUAGUACCUUGGAGGGCGUGGGGGAUGGCCCCCGCCUGGAUCUUGGUGGGCUGCUUCCACCCCAUGGCGUCGCAGGCCUCCACCAGCUCGCGGCAGACGCCCAGCUCGGCGAACGUUGAGGCCUCGGCGGCCGGCUCCGGCUCCGGCUCCGGCUGCUGGGCCUCGCCGCCCCCGGCGACCGCCUUGUCCGCCACCGCCAUGGCUGCGAGAGGAGGGAGUGGAGUCUUCUGUGCGCGCGUGGGCGAAUACGACGGCGGCGGCGGCGGCGGCGGCGGCGUGGGUUUGCUCUGCUUGGCGUGGCGCGCGGAGGCUGCUGGUUGUAUGACGGGAGACAGAACUUGGCGCACACGGCCGCGGGGUCGGCGCGGCGGCAUAAACCCUAGCGGAUGAAGCGGAGGGGAAAAUCUCGUGGGCCGGCAUGCUCGGCGAGCCACUUGGAGCGGCCUCGGUCCGGGAAGAGCCCAUUUCAAAUACUCCGUUUUUAUUUACUUCGCAUAUUAGCUUUGUAUCAAGUUUGGCUCAAAUACCACAUGGUAUGUGUGGUAAGCAAUUUCAUAUUUGAAAUGAUGCUGUUGAGUUAUGAGGCUUUAUUUAAGUGGUGAUCUAGAUAAUAGAGAAUGGAAGUAGAUGAAAAAUACAAAAUCAAAAAAAAAGUUUGGCUCAAAAAAAACUUUGAUCAAGUUUAUAAAGAAUAUAUUAUCCACAAUACCAAAUCAAUAAUUUUAAAAUCAUCAUUGAAUAUAUUUUUAUAUCAUAUAUAUUUGUUAUUAGUCGCGUAGCCAGCCCAACAUCACGUCCCAGACCAACCUCAAUGGUACAAUAUGGAACAGUACAAAUUUUAACAAUGUAUCUGAUGCAAACGAUGAGCAAACUUGCUGCCAUGCCCGGAGCCGCCCCUGUUGCCCGGGGCUUGGCUACGCCAGUGUUCGUCACUGUGAAAGUUUAGAUUGUUUUCCAUAAAUUUUGAUCAAAUUUUAUAAAGUUUGACUUAGAUCAAAACUAAUAUGGGAAGUAAAUAAAAACGGAGGGAGUAUUACACUUAGGUGCUCCUAUUCUUCGAGAGCAACUAAUUGGAGGGUACCUUCUUGGGGAACCUAGGGGUCAUUUUUGGUGGACUGGGAGCGCGCAGGCUCGCACUCCCUCGGGAUUUCGGUGUUUUUCUCAUUCAUGUGUUUUUGGAUUUAUUUAUUUAUUUAUUUGCUUUUCCGCUUUUUUUUUGUUUUCCUUAGGUUUUUUAUAGAAGCAGUGCUUUUCGCAAGAAGUACAACAUGUGUUUUGCGACAAGCACAAUUGUGAUUCCACGAGAAGUAUAACAUGUGCUUCCCGAAAAGGAAAAUGCAUAGACGUGUUUCACAAAAAGGGAAAAACACAGUCAGUACUUUCAUGAGAAGCACAAUUAUGCUUCAUGAAAAGGGAAGAACACAGUUGUGCUUUCUAAAAAAGUGAAAGGCAUAGUACGUGCUUCCCGAAAAGGAAAAAGCACAAUUGUGCUUCUAGGUUCCGGUUUUUUUUUGGGUUUUCAUUUUUCUGUUUUUCCCAGAUUUUAGUAUUUUUUUUUGUUUGUUGGAUUUUUGUGUUUUUUCAUUUUCAGGUUUUUGGGGAAAGAAAAAGUUCUUAGAAACUUAUUAACAUAGGAUCUAGUUGCGAAGAUCUCGACGCGAGGGAUCCAACAGUGAAAAAGGUUCAUGAUUUGAAGCAUGGUUCAAGAGAUAAAACGUUAUGAAAAAACGAAUCUAAAGAAACUUUCAGACAGUGACAAAUGACGCGCAUGCAGUGUGCCACUUGUUAUCACCAUGCAAGAUGGGAGUGACCUCUCCAAGGAGUGCCCUCUAACCGAUGAUCUCGCUAUUCUUCUUCCCCAAUGGACGGUAGGCCUGCCACCCAUGUAGCACUAUGUGCGCUCGAGAGGAACGGUUUUUAGCGUUUUUCAUUUCAGCCAUUUUUUUAUUUUGGUUGUUCAAAAAAAUCAUUAAUUAGUAUAUGUUUGUUAGUUUUAAAUAUUAUUUAGAAAUUUAAAAAUGUAUUUAAAAAAAGAAAAAAUAUUCAAGGAUUUUAAAAUUUUCAUGAGUAUAAAAUGAUGUUUCAUGAAUUUUAAGAUGAAAACAAAAAAGAGAAAAAAAAAA